GCAAGUCGAACGGUAACAGGCCCUUCGGGGUGCUGACGAGUGGCGGACGGGUGAGUAACGCGUAGGAAUCUGCCCUGAAGUGGGGGACAACCUGGGGAAACCCAGGCUAAUACCGCAUACGCCCUACGGGGGAAAGCGGGGGAUCUUCGGACCUCGCGCUUCAGGAUGAGCCUGCGUCCGAUUAGCUUGUUGGUGGGGUAAUGGCCUACCAAGGCGACGAUCGGUAGCUGGUCUGAGAGGACGAUC
rnacentral:rRNA from 1 species